CCCCUGGCCUUGCGUGUAGUUGACUGUUAACCCCGUCAGAUCCGGAAGGAAGCAGCGGUCCGCGUGUUCAACUGCGGCGCAUUCAGCCUGGAGGUC
rnacentral:SRP_RNA from 1 species